CAUGGACACUGAGAGUCAUUAGAUCUACUAGAUCAUAAGGACUGAGUGACAGAAGGACCUGUACUGAAACUUUCACUUGCUGCAGAUUCUUCUUGGUCUCCACUCAAAACUGGAAGUCUUAUAAAGGGAUUUUUGUCAAUGAGUCAAAGUAACACACACAAAUGUUACCACGUUGCCUUUAAAAUCCAAAAAGCCUAGUGCUGUUCUCUCUUCAUGGUACAGGUGUAACGUGCAGCAACUUGACCUUCACCCCAGAGGAGACAUCUCAACAUGUUCCAGGCCACCAGACUCUCAGACGCUUUGCUGAGAUUACAGGCCUUUUAACUUUUGUGGGAUUUAUUUCCCACCCUCUCCUCCACGUAUGUUGUACCUGCUACUUCCUGUUCAUCAGGUGCAACCAGCUUGCCUUCAGUAUAGUGCACUGGGGUGAUGCUUUGCAGAAUGUCAAGGUGAUCAUAUAGAUGAUUAUAUAAGGGAAGAAAGCAAAAGAAUGGAUUUAGCUCUGAAGCAAGACUGUGGACGUGUAUUGUUGGCCCUUCCAGGUAAAAGCAAACUGGUUUUGGCAGUCAACACAAAUUACUAGAGAAUAUGGAUAGAUAAGUCCAGGGCUACAAACAAAGUGGUAUACUGGGUUGCUCCAGUCAAGACACUCUACCUGGGACAGCAGUUGCAAUUGGAGUCACCACCUGAUGAAGUGUACAAUAAUCCAGUCAUUCUCUAAAAUUGAUAUGACCUCCACAUAAGUCAAAUAGGCAAGUUAAGUGGGAGUGGGAUAGGGAUCACGACUUCUGCAUAUUUCAAGAUUUCAUUAAUCUCAGCAAUUCUCUCAAGGAUAGAGAAGUGCUUCCAGGUCACUAUCAUGGUAGAGAGAUGCAGCUCCAGAACUUCUGCUCCUUCCUUCCAUAAUGGACCUCACUCCAUGAGGUGGAGACUCAAAGUGGGGACUCCUCCAGUUACCAAGAAGGUCUCCUUCAAUUAUAUAAUCAGAAACUGGACACACAGGCUGAGCAUCUAUCACCUGAUUACCUAAGUCAACACGUUGGUAGGUCACAGUGGUACUUUGCAGCCCCAGGAAUCAUCAUAAAUUCAGAGUCCAUGUCCAGUAAUCCCCAGAGAUCUAAGUGCCUUCUUUUUCCAAGUGCAGUCAUUCUAGCAAAGGGCCACAGGACCCUGUAGAAAAGCUUAGAGGAAGACAUAUGGAACAUAAUUAUAGCACUGCUGCAGGAACUUUCUCUACAUCCUCAUCAAUCAAGAGGCUCUGAUCUGUGAGCUUGGCUGAGGUCUGGAAACUGGAUAAGAAGCUACAAUUCUACAACACAUAAUUCAAGUCAGGUUUUUUCACCAGUAUUACAGGUUGGUUGCUUGGUUUCUCUAUAAUACAGAUCAAGCCAUAGCCUAGUAGGCUGUCCAACUUGGCACAGUCACAGCAACCAGUGAGCCACCAAGAAAGACACCUAUGGACCAAGGCAUUCUAGUUACUGGUCAUCUGUGCUGCCAUUUACAGUAAAGGCAUCCUGGCCUUUGGCUACUAAGCAACAUGGUUUAGCCUCUGUGGCUCCAGAACAUUAUCAUCCACAUGAAAUCAGGAAGUCUCAUAUGAAGGACAACAAACUCAAAAGCCUGGACAGGUUCUCCCUUCAACAAUGCAUUCCUCCACACCUUAGUUAAGACUGUCUUCUGGAAAUUUCCAUGAAACACCAUCUGAGGAUAGCGGUGCAGAUCACAUGAUAAACCCACCCUCAUAUCUAUCUCCUUAAAACUUUGGAUCCCCUCUUCUAUAUUAUGCCACAGAAGCUCUGGCAUCUCAAGUUGAUUAAAUAUAAGCCACCUUUCAAGUCCAAGUUUCAGCCAGACAACCAAGUAAGCUGUUAGAGCCAACUUCAGCUGCACAAGUUAACACAUUAAAUACCAAAUCCAC
rnacentral:lncRNA from 1 species